rnacentral:misc_RNA from 1 species
GAUGAAGAACGUAGCAAAAUGCGAUAAGUAAUGUGAAUUGCAGAAUUCAGUGAAUCAUCGAAUCUUUGAACGCACAUUGCGCCCGCCAGUAUUCUGGCGGGCAUGCCUGUUCGAGCGUCAUUGCUGCCCUCAAGCACGGCUUGUGUGUUGGGCCUCCGUCCUCCUCCCGGGGGACGGGCCCGAAAGGCAGCGGCGGCACCGCGUCCGGUCCUCGAGCGUAUGGGGCUUCGUCACCCGCUCUUGUAGGCCCGGCCGGCGCUUGCCGACACAUCAAUCUUUUUUCCAGGUUGACCUCGGAUCAGGUAGGGAUACCCGCUGAACUUAAGCAUAUCAAUAAGCGGAGGA